rnacentral:rRNA from 1 species
CCUACGGGAGGCAGCAGUGGGGAAUAUUGCGCAAUGGGCGAAAGCCUGACGCAGCGACGCCGCGUGAGGGAUGAAGGUCUUCGGAUCGUAAACCUCUGUCAGCAGGGAAGAACGGUCACUGUGCUAAUCAGCAGUGAAUUGACGGUACCUGCAAAGGAAGCACCGGCUAACUCCGUGCCAGCAGCCGCGGUAAUACGGAGGGUGCGAGCGUUAAUCGGAAUUACUGGGCGUAAAGCGCUCGUAGGCGGUAUGUCAAGUCAAGGGUGAAAUCCCCGCGCUCAACGGGGGAACUGCCUUUGAAACUGGCAGACUGGAGUGUUUGAGAGGAUAGUGGAAUUCCAGGUGUAGGAGUGAAAUCCGUAGAUAUCUGGAGGAACAUCAGUGGCGAAGGCGACUAUCUGGCACAUAACUGACGCUGAGGAGCGAAAGCGUGGGUAGCAAACAGGAUUAGAUACCCCAGUAGUC